rnacentral:tRNA from 1 species
GGGCUCAUGGUCUAGCGGUUAUGACGUUGCCCUUACACGGCGAAGACCGCCGGUUCGAAUCCGGCUGAGCCCACCA